rnacentral:rRNA from 1 species
UACGAGGGGGGCGAGCGUUGUUCGGAAUUAUUGGGCGUAAAGGGUGCGUAGGUGGCGAGGUAAGUUGGAUGUGAAAUCCCGGGGCUCAACCCCGGAACUGCAUUCAAUACUGCCUUGCUGGAGUACUGGAGAGGAGAUUGGAAUUUACGGUGUAGCAGUGAAAUGCGUAGAUAUGCGGAGGAACACCGAUGGCGAAGGCAAUCCCCUGGGCCUGUACUGACGCUCAUGCACGAAAGCGUGGGGAGCAAACAGG